GUACUUUGCCGCUGCUAGAAAUA
rnacentral:siRNA from 1 species